CAUUUUUUUACCCAUUAAUGGGUGAAAAAAUAGUUGCGAAUAUUUUCAAAUUGUUUUUCUGUUUUCUCCCGGUUGAAAAAUUCAAUCAAUGAGCCCUCGUAUGGACGUCAUCGAAAGUAUGGAGUUCCAGAGGAAAAUAGUUCCUUCCAGGCUGUCUCAGGUUUUUGCCAGCCUGAACCAAAAUCACAACAGGUUUCCGAUUUCACAACAGGUGUAACAGAACGCGCGACCGGCAGAAAACGCGGAUCAUCGUCCGGAGACAAACCAUCGCAAUCAUGGACAAGAUUAUCACCUGUCAUAAGCAUCCGGACUCCGGAUCAAGCCUGAAGCAGUCAUCAC